rnacentral:rRNA from 1 species
UUCUUGGACCGUGGCCAGACAAACUACAGCGAAAGCAUUUGCCAAGAAUGUCUUCAUUAAUCAAGAACGAAAGUCAGAGGUUCGAAGGCGAUCAGAUACCGCCCUAGUUCUGACCGUAAACGAUGCCAACUAGCGAUCCGCCGAUGGAGAUUAUAUUGCCUUGGUGGGGAGCUUCCCGGAAACGAAAGUCUUCCGGUUCCGGGGGAAGUAUGGUUGCAAAGCUGAAACUUAAAGGAAUUGACGGAAGGGCACCACCAGGAGUGGAGCCUGCGGCUUAAUUUGACUCAACACGGGGAAACUCACCCGGCCCGGACACUGUGAGGAUUGACAGAUUGAUAGCUUUUUCAUGAUUCAGUGGAUGGUGGUGCAUGGCCGUUCUUAGUUCGUGGAGUGAUUUGUCUGGUUUAUUCCGAUAACGAGCGAGACUCUAACCUACUAAAUAGCUGGUACAUACUUAAAGUGUAUACAGCUUCUUAGAGGGAUUUGCGGUGUUCAGCCGAAAGAAAUUGAGCAAUAACAGGUCUGUGAUGCCCUUAGAUGUCCGGGGCUGCACGCGCGCUACACUGGCAAAAUCAACGUGCUUGUCCUACUCCGAAAGGGGCGGGUAAACCAUUGAAAAUUUGCCGUGAUUGGGAUCGGAAAUUGCAAUUAUUUUCCGUGAACGAGGAAUUCCAAGUAAGUGCGAGUCAUCAGCUCGCGUUGAUUACGUCCCUGCCCUUUGUACACACCGCCCGUCGCUGCCCGGGACUGAGCCAUUUCGAGAAAUUUGGGG